UACGAAGGGGGCUAGCGUUGCUCGGAAUUACUGGGCGUAAAGCGCACGUAGGCGGUCCUUUAAGUCGGGGGUGAAAUCCUGGAGCUCAACUCCAGAACUGCCUUCGAUACUGGAAGACUCGAGUCCGGGAGAGGUGAGUGGAACUGCGAGUGUAGAGGUGAAAUUCGUAGAUAUUCGCAAGAACACCAGUGGCGAAGGCGGCUCACUGGCCCGGUACUGACGCUGAGGUGCGAAAGCGUGGGGAGCAAACAGG
rnacentral:rRNA from 1 species